AGAGUGGCAGACGGGUGAGUAACACGUGGGAAUCUUCCUAUCGGUACGGAAUAGCUCAGGGAAACUUGAGGUAAUACCGCAUACGCCCUUCGGGGGAAAGAUUUAUCGCCGAUAGAUGAGCCCGCGUCUGAUUAGCUAGUUGGUGGGGUAAUGGCCUACCAAGGCGACGAUCAGUAGCUGGUCUGAGAGGAUGACCAGCCACACUGGAACUGAGACACGGCCCAGACUCCUACGGGAGGCAGCAGUGGGGAAUAUUGGACAAUGGGCGCAAGCCUGAUCCAGCCAUGCCGCGUGAGUGACGAAGGUCUUCGGAUUGUAAAGCUCUUUUGCCAGGGACGAUAAUGACGGUACCUGGAGAAUUAGCCCCGGCUAACUUCGUGCCAGCAGCCGCGGUAAUACGAAGGGGGCUAGCGUUGUUCGGAAUUACUGGGCGUAAAGCGCACGUAGGCGGAUUUGUUAGUCAGGGGUGAAAUCCCGGGGCUCAACCUCGGAACUGCCUUUGAUACUGCAAGUCUAGAGUCCGGAAGAGGUGAGUGGAAUUCCUAGUGUAGAGGUGAAAUUCGUAGAUAUUAGGAAGAACACCAG
rnacentral:rRNA from 1 species